AGAAUGAAUUUCACAUCUAAGGCACCUUUUUUGAUCCGUAAAUAAGUAAUAAAAGUUUUUUCCCCAGACAUUUUCACUCCCCCGCCAAAUUGCCAAAGUAAAUAGGUGGUGGGCACAAUUAAUAUAUAUAAUCCGCUUAAAUAUAUAUACUAGAAAAAAAAAAAAAGGAGGAAGAAGAAGAAGAAGAAGAAGAAGAAGAAGGAAGCCCAACUUCUAUCAAUUACUUCCUAAAAGAAGCUUCAACGAGAUUAGGGUUUUCAACCAGCGAAGAGGGCACACGGUGGACCGGCAAGUGCUGGUACGUCCAUAACCUCCUCAAGUACGAGUUCAAUCUCCAAUUCGACAUCCCCGUCACCUACCCUUCCACUGCCCCCGAGCUCGAAUUGCCCCAACUAGAUGGCAAGACCCACAAGAUGUAUAGAGGAGGGAAGAUUUGCUUGACUAUGUGUUUCAAACUGCUCUGUGCUAAGAACUGUGAUUUAGAGAAAAGAUAGUAGAAGGAAGAAAGUCUUUGUAGGAACUUGCUCCCUGGUGCUACAAGGUCUGUGUCAUAUCAUUGUUGCUAAAAGAAAUUAAGUUAUUUUCCCGGAUUUGCUUUUGGAUCCUCCUUUUCCUCUGUCAUUAUAGCCCUUGUCUUUUAAUUAUGUUUGCAGUUGGCCAAUGACCAAGAAAAGGAUUUAAAAUUUUCUUUCAUAGGAUU